GACGAACGCUGGCGGCGUGCCUAAUACAUGCAAGUAGAACGCACAGUUUAUACCGUAGCUUGCUACACCAUACACUGUGAGUUGCGAACGGGUGAGUAACGCGUAGGUAACCUGCCUGGUAGCGGGGGAUAACUAUUGGAAACGAUAGCUAAUACCGCAUAAUAUUGAUUAUUGCAUGAUAAUUGAUUGAAAGAUGCUAUUGCAUCACUACCAGAUGGGCCUGCGUUGUAUUAGCUAGUAGGUGAGGUAACGGCUCACCUAGGCGACGAUACAUAGCCGACCUGAGAGGGGGAUCGGCCACACUGGGACUGAGACACGGCCCAGACUCCUACGGGAGGCAGCAGUAGGGAAUCUUCGGCAAUGGACGAAAGUCUGACCGAGCAACGCCGCGUGAGUGAAGAAGGUUUUCGGAUCGUAAAGCUCUGUUGUAAGAGAAGAACGGGUGUGAGAGUGGAAAGUUCACACUGUGACGGUAUCUUACCAGAAAGGGACGGCUAACUAUGUG
rnacentral:rRNA from 1 species